GAGACUGCCUAUUUUUGUAGUAAACAUUAUCAGCAAGAUUGCAAUACCAUGGCAUGGCUUAGUUUUUAAAUCCAUUCUUACCAAGCAACAGUCACGUAAAUUUUGCAGCAGACCUAUUCAAGGAGAGAGACACAUGAAGAAGUUUAACAAUGCACUCAACUCGUACACUAGCUUUCUACACAUCUUGGUAUCAAACCCCAGUGAGAUGAUGUGAUAUUUGAAGGACUGUAGGCUGUGUUGCCAAACAAGAAAGAGCUGCCAACUUCAAUUUGAGGUAUUGGUCUAGCUAUUUGGCAGCAGAAAAAAUAAAGUACAACUAGCAAAAACUUCUUUCUAAAGUUUUAUGGACAAUAAGAUAGGUGUGUGGACCUAUAGGAAUGGAGUAAGCAAGAGCUCAGAGCACACAAGUUUUUAAAAUAUAAACUCAUACUUGCCAAUAAUUCUUUUGUUUAGUUUUACAAAUGACUGCACAGAUGAAACCAGAAAUAUCUGCGCAUUUAAAAAAGCAGUAAUUCAGACUUAACAAGGCAUUUAACCUUUACUGAAAAUGAGACAGACAGGUUUGGAAGACUGAAUUUUCUUGUUUCCAUCAAUAUGUUUUUGUAUGAGGAGUUGAUGGAUAGACUCAAAAACUACUGGCGGAAGUGGAGGAAAGCGUGGUUGGGUCAGUGUGGUGGCAUCGGGGGAAUAGAAGAUCUCCUUACAGUACAACAGCUGAUGGUAUCUCCAGUCUGAAUUUAGAACCAAACUCAAAUCCAAUGCCCAGGUAAUCCAAUAGCUAUGGUUCUUUAUUUACAGUAUUGUAUGGUUCAUAAUGGACUUGUGGAUGAGGCUUGGUGGUUGGUGCCAGAGGGCUGUUGGUGGAUAAGCAGAUAAUGGGCAUGUUAAAGGGUCAACAUUAAGGUUCCAGUUCAGUUCUUAAUUCAAGUUCUAUUUACAAGCUCAGGUGACAAUGUAUGUCCAGAAAUUUUCACUUAAGCCUUAUUUCUUCCUAACACUAUUUAAGUAUUUUCCUGAAAACUGCAUUCCUCAGUCAGUAUAUUUUCAUAAAAAGCUAAUCUGGGGGUAAAAAGAAUUACACACCCACAUAAAGUAGGCUCAGACAAAAGUGUAAGUUAUUUGAAAGCUAGGGUUGGGUAGUAGCAGCAGGAAGCCCAACCCCUGGAGAGGCAAAAAUGUGUGGACAAUAUAGAAAGCAUAUUUAAAUUCUGUCACAAGUUCCACUCCACAGGGUAAGGAAGCCCUGCUAGAAAGUCCUGAUCUCAACCUCAUUUUCCUGCGAUUCCAUAGAUUCACUGGCCCCAGAAAUUCAAUGCUCCUUGGGAACCUAUAGCUGUCAACUAGUGUAUGAAUGGAUCAUUCCACAACAAAAAUAUAAAAGACCUACCACAGUAAUAUUUAACUUCAAAAAGGGGAACUAGACAAGAAAGAGGAUGGUAGUUAGACGUUAAAAAGAGCAGUCUCAAGGGUAAAAUACCUGCAAGCAGCAUGGAGACUUCUUAAAAACAGCAUUCCAGAGGCUCAGGCCAAACAUAUAAAAAUCAAAAAAGACAGUAGAAGCACCAAAAGAAUGACACCAUGGCUGAACAGCGUAAUUGCCGCCAUUAGAGGCGAAUAUACAUCCUUUAAAAUUUGGAAGUCAGAUAAGGAAAAUAAGAAGGAGCGCACAAACUCUGGCAAGUAUACGAAGCCAGGCCAAGAAAGAAUUUGAGAAGCAAAUUGCUACACAACAACA
rnacentral:lncRNA from 1 species